GGCGGGGGUGGGGGGGCCGCAAAUAUCCAUGUCGGACCUGAGCAGUCUCAGGCUUGCCAGCUCCAGGCAGGGAGGCUGAGAACUGGCUUUCAGCCUGGGGAGGAGUUUGGAGGAUUCGGGAGGGAGAGGUUUGUGGGGUUGGUGGUGGCGAGAGAAGAGGACAGGAGGAAGGAGAGUGUGAAGGGAGGCAAGGGGCUGUGGGCAGAGGGGAGAGGAAGGUGGCCUUGGGUGAGGGGAUACUCAGAGACUACUCAGCUGCCUGGGCCGGGCCCCUCUGCAGAUAAGUGUGGCUGGGGUGGUGGCAUGCAGGGCUGUGUGGGGCUCCCAGCUGGCUGGCUGCGUCUGUAGCAGCCCCACUAUUCCUGCCCUGGGCCUCAAACCAGGAGCGUCCCAGGCCUUAGGUCAGCUAACCAAGGCCCGACAUUGCUGGCAGGGGUCUGCAGGGGUUUCUGUGGAUACUUUGACAUUUUUCACAAUAAACAUCCUCUGUUUUGACACGGGUAACUUCACUUUGUUAGAAACCAGAGACUGUCAUCUUGUCAGGCCCCAUCCGCCAUAAUCCACAUGAUUUUAAAAUUCAACAUCGUUUACACAUAAACAUUUAGUGACGGUUUCUCUGUGAAUCUGACAAGUUAAUCUGCUAAGAAUUCACACUGACAAAUGGGCUUUGAUUACACCAGCCAUUGCUGAUGUAAUUCUGAUAGGGGCGGUCCCCCGGAUGGCAAUGGGUUCCUGUAGGCUGUUUGGGGUGAAGUCGGGGGUGGGAGGACUAGUAGGGCCAAAGCCAAAAUGUGUCCGUUCUGAGAAAGAAAGUUCUGAGGCUGGGGUGGGGCCCAGCAGUCCUGGAACCACACUUCCCAACAAGGCCUUCAGCAAUCCCGCCUACCUCUCUCUCAGGAGGUACCCCUCUAGGAAGCUCAGGCUUGCCAGCUCCAGGCAGGGAGGCUGAGAACUGGCUUUCAGCCUGGGGAGGAGUUUGGAGGAUUCGGGAGGGAGAGGUUUGUGGGGUUGGUGGUGGCGAGAGAAGAGGACAGGAGGAAGGAGAGUGUGAAGGGAGGCAAGGGGCUGUGGUGGGCAGAGGGGAGAGGAAGGUGGCCUCGGGUGAGGGGAUACUCAGAGACUACUGAGCUGCCGGGGACAGAACAUAACCUCCUCUGUUUGGCUCAGCCAGGUCUCCUUUUAUCACUUUAAUGCUCAUAUCUGGUCCCGAGGGAUAUGGCAUGCAAACCUGGUGGCAGGACAGGACCUCUCUUGAGCA
rnacentral:lncRNA from 1 species